rnacentral:sRNA from 1 species
AUAAGGCCUUUUAGGAGCUCACUGGCUUCGGGUUCCAGCGAAACUCAAAAGUUAAGCGAGUUCGCACGAGCGCAAUUCCAUGAUGGGUGACCCACUGGGAAGUUCUCGUGUGAGUUCCCAGAAACAAAGCCAUGAGGGCAUGGUCGGGGCCCAAAGGGGACAAUAUCGUGCUACGAUGGAGUCAAGCUCGGGAUGUGGUGGGGGCCCGGGUCGGGAUGUGACAAUUUGGUAUCAGAGCCAAUCCUUGGCUGCAAGUGUGCCAACGAGGAUGUCGGGCCCCUAAGGAGGGUGGAUUGUAACAUCCCACAUCGCCCAGGAGAGUGGAUCUUGUAAAUCUUAUAUGUAUAUUCCCAUCUCUACCUAGCACGAGGCUUUUUGGGAGCUCAAUGGCUUUGGGUUCCAUCAAAACUCCGAAGUUAAGCGAGUUCACGCGAGAGUAAUCCCAUGAUGGGUGACCCACUAGGAAGUUCUCGUGUGAGUUCCC